rnacentral:misc_RNA from 1 species
GAUAAGAUUUUGGUCUUAGUGUAUACGAGUUUUUGAAAGUAAGGGAGCAAUAAACAAUUUCUUGUUCUAUCAAGAGGGCGUUAUUGCUCCUUUACUUUCUCUUAUUUAUUAGUAGUAUUUACAUAUAUUUUUUUCGUUACAAAAAAAAAUUAUUAUGGGUAAAACGAAUAGGUUUUUUUGUAUGGGUUGGUUCAUGAUUAAGUAUCGUCUUUUCGUUCUAUAUUAAUUUAGAAUUUAAAUACUUUUGUGAAAUUUUUUUUUCCCUUUAAAAGGGAAAUUUUUUCAUUUUUAUUUCAUUUUACUUAAUAUUUUUAUUUCCGAAAUAAGAACGAAAUAAUGAUG